AGUUUGUCUGGGUAAAUGUAGAUCCGAGCAGGGAGGCGGCUGCGGCCGGUGACAAAGCGCAGGAAACGGCUCCGGUCCUCUGGGUGGAGAAGAAAAUUAAGGCUUGCACUGAUGAAGGAAGCUCUAUAAAUUCCCGCCCGCCUCUUCAAUCCACAAGCCACGUCCCAAGGUCAGCAAGUCCAGCACAGCCUGUGGUACCACCUUCAGCAGACCUGCCUGCAUGGCUGCCACCUAGGGAGGAGGAAGAAGCCUGCCUGGGAAAGUUGGACACUACUUUCAGCGUACACUGGGGCAUCUCUGUACUCACUGACCAGCAGGAAUGGGGUGCAGUCAUGGAAGCCAGCAUCAGGGUGGAUAUUGGUCGCCUACCAGUGGGCUCUGGCGUCAAGGGAAGGGCCUGCUGCUCCUGUUCUCCUACCUGCUCCUUGCUCUCCUCUAGCCGCGCCUUCCGCACCAGCUGGAUGAAACGGGAGCGAUCCUCAUAUUCCACCACGAUGCCCGUGCCCCCAGGAAUCAGCUCCACGACCUGUUGGUCACUCAGGACGGUGGUGAAUGUCAGCUCCUUCCCAAACUUG
ensembl:antisense 1700021J08Rik RIKEN cDNA 1700021J08 gene